rnacentral:rRNA from 1 species
AGUGAACGCUGGCGGCGUGCUUAACACAUGCAAGUCGAACGAGAACGGGAUAUAGCUUGCUAUAUUUGUCAGCUAAGUGGCGCACGGGUGAGUAAUGUAUAGGUAAUAUGCCUCUUACUAAGGGAUAACAAUUGGAAACGAUUGCUAAUACCUUAUAUGCCUUUAAGACUAAAGUCUGCAAGGGAAAGAUUUAUUGGUAAGAGAUUAGCCUGUAUUGUAUCAGCUAGUUGGUGAGGUAAUGGCUCACCAAGGCUAUGACGCAUAACUGGUUUGAGAGGAUGAUCAGUCACACUGGAACUGAGACACGGUCCAGACUCCUACGGGAGGCAGCAGUGGGGAAUAUUGCACAGUGGACGAAAGUCUGAUGCAGCAACGCCGCGUGGAGGAUGACACAUUUCGGUGCGUAAACUCCUUUUAUAUAGGAAGAUAAUGACGGUACUAUAUGAAUAAGCACCGGCUAACUCCGUGCCAGCAGCCGCCGUAAAAC